AACGAACGCUGGCGGCAUGCCUAACACAUGCAAGUCGAACGAGACCUUCGGGCCUAGUGGCGCACGGGUGCGUAACGCGUGGGAACCUGCCCUUAGGUUCGGAAUAACUCCCCGAAAGGGGUGCUAAUACCGGAUAAUGUCUUCGGACCAAAGAUUUAUCGCCUUUGGAUGGGCCCGCGUUGGAUUAGCUAGUUGGUAGGGUAAAAGCCUACCAAGGCGACGAUCCAUAGCUGGUCUGAGAGGAUGAUCAGCCACACUGGGACUGAGACACGGCCCAGACUCCUACGGGAGGCAGCAGUGGGGAAUAUUGGACAAUGGGCGAGAGCCUGAUCCAGCAAUGCCGCGUGAGUGAUGAAGGCCUUAGGGUUGUAAAGCUCUUUUAACCGGGAUGAUAAUGACAGUACCGGGAGAAUAAGCUCCGGCUAACUCCGUG
rnacentral:rRNA from 1 species